CACUCAUCGAGACCGGCUGAGGGACAGGCCCUUUGAAGCCGGGGCAACCUGCGGAAUGUUUCCGCCACGGUGCCAACUCCUGCGGGGAUGCUUCGGCAUCCACCGGUAGAUGGGCG
rfam:Rhodanobacter spathiphylli B39 contig022, whole genome shotgun sequence.